GUUGGCCUAGUGGUUAGAGUGUCCGCCUCAUAUGCAGGAGGUUGCAGGUUCGAUCCCCUGUUGUGUUAUACCA